rnacentral:misc_RNA from 1 species
AAAGAUCAAAGCUGUUGGAGGAGUCGCCGUUAUGGAGUAACAACAAUCUCUGUUGGAUUUAGCAGGUUCCCUCAUCCUGCAUUUCUUCUUUUUUCACAACGGAACAUGCCAAAAUUAACAUAAUUUCUCUUUGUUGGAUUUAGUUUCUUGGGUUAGGACGAUCACGUUUUGUUUAAUAGGUUUCGUGCUUUUUACAGCUUUGAAUAGGCAUGUUGAUUACAAUAUUUUGUAUCUGAUCUUGCUGCUAGACUGUUAAGAAUUCGAAAUAAUCUCGUGGAAUUAAUUUAGGUGCA